CCAGAAGGAAGCCUUGUGUGUGACCCUCAGUCCAAGAUGACACUCUGAAUCCACUCACUCUGCACUCUAAUUUCCCUUACAUUAUAGAAAGCUCUCCUGGGCAGCCUCUUAGUCCUGGCCAACUUUGUGAGUGUAUGCAGAGGCCAGUGCUAUAACCUACAUUUUGUCCAAGGUGAAGGUGAUUCUCCUCCUGUAUGCCGGGAUCUUGAUGGAACCACACACUCAAUAAACUCAACAUGGAUCACUGGGGACUGCACUAAAUGUAUUUGCUACAAAAAUAAAAUGGAAUGCUGUGGCAUACUUACUAUACCUCUUCAGUACGACAAAUCCAAAUGCCACAGCGUUUUUAACAUCAAUGACUGUACCUACACUGUUGUUCAGGAUCAAGAUCAUUCAAAGCCCUGUCAGUUCUAUGUCAAGAUACGUGAUGUCUUCAAAGAAGCCCAGCGCACCCUGCUCCCUUUUCCAAAACCAGUAUACCCAUGUUGGUAGUACCAC
rnacentral:lncRNA from 1 species